CGCAGACGCGUGCGCUCCCCGCCCGCUCGCUACCUACGCUGGUCCCGCCUUCCCAGUGCUUAGACGCGUGCGCACCGCCCCUCUGGAGACCGUGGCGGGUGCCGGGGGAUUCGAGGAGUUCCAGAGAACCGCGACUCCUCACCCUUUCCAGGUCACCGUGACUCAGCAUCCUCGACCUCAUCCCACUCCCCAAGGUUUGAUUAGAGAGGCUACCCUCCACAUCCCAGUGUCUGAUCACCACCGCCCCCCGCUGCCCCCGGCUGCUCCUUUCCUGGGAGAUCUGAGAAUUGGUGGGAAAUCUGGAAUAACUGAAGCUGCUGGGAAUCACAGAGGCCAAACUGCUGGAGGUGUACACUAGCGAAUGUUAAAAAGAACAUGAAACUUUUAAAAAGAAUUCCAUGGACAGAGGAGCCUGGUGGGCUACAGUCACAGAGUUGCAGAUAGCCGGACACGACUGAGUGACUUUCACUUCUGACUACUUAGGUCAUGUGUUCAUCUCUGGCUUAAGUCAUAUGUUCAUCUCUGAUUCAGUCAAGGAGGCAGAGGAAGAAACCCAAGGGUGAGAGGUAGUGGCUCUGGAUCAAGACAACAGAUAAACAGACGUCUCCUGUGAUCACUGAAAAGAGCCUGCUUGAGAAGAAGGGAGGCCGUGGCUCCUACUGUCGAGAGUCAUCAAAGGAAUCAUAGAGCAAGUAGAUGUUAUAGGAACUCAAAUAAUUCUGGGCCAGAAGUGGCAGUGACAGCAUGGUACUGGGAGGUAGGUCAGAGGAAGAGCUAAGCCUAGGACUGCAGCAGGACAUGGCCACUCCUGGAUGGAUGGCAUUUCUGGGGGAACUGGGCGAUGGAGAAGCUCAGUUUGAGUGCACAGUCCUUGGACCUCUUCUCUCUGACUACAUUGACUCCGUCUUACCCACACUCUCCUCUAGGCUCAUGACUUCAAAUGCUAUCUAUUUACUCAUGACUCCCAAGUUUUUCCUCUUGCCUGAACCAUCCCUCCUCAUUCUCCAGACAUGAACACCCAACAUCUCCACUUAGAUGUCUGAUAGGUUUUUAAAACUUGUCAAAAACAAGAUAAUGAUCUUCCCCCUAAAACUGGCAUUUCUCCAAGAUGCAAUGGCAAUUCCAGUUUUUCCAGGAAUUUGGGUAAAAAAACAGAUGUUAUCAUUGACUGUUCUUUUUCUUUCUCUUAAUUCUUCACUCCACAUAUAUAGAUCACCAGGCCCAACUCCUCCUACCUUGACACCUUCAUUCCUGGUCUGCAUUCUUGCUGUAGCAUCCUAUCUGUUGUCCUUACUUUCAUGCCUACUGAAUUGUUGGUCUGAUCCUUUGCCAUGUCCCCCCUUUGUUUAAACCUUUCAAUGGUUUCCCAUCUCUGUGGGAAUAAAACUCAAAGUUCUCACAAUAACUUCUUGCUUUCGUUCCCUCUCUGACGUCAUCCUCUAUCACUCUCCCCUCCUUCACUCCGCUCCAGUCACACUCGCCUCUUGCUGUUGCUAAAAUAUCAGCGUGCUUUCCUUAGGAAUUUUGCAGCUCCUCUUCCCUUUGCCUGAACACUUCUCCCCCAGAUUUCCAAGUGGCUUGCUUUCUCACCUUCUUCAGGCUUUUGCUGAAAUGUCACCUCCUUAGUGAGUUUCGCCUUGACCAUUCUAUUCAGAAUUGCAUCUUCUAUUCCCAGCACCCUUUUCAAUUUCCCUUUUCUCAGUAGCACUUACCAGCAUCUGAUAAGCCGUAUAUUUUACUUGUCACCUAAACGUCCCGAACACCUGGAACACUGCCUGUAACACAGAAGGUUUUGGAGGGAGUUGUGUCAAGUGAAUGAAUGAAUGAACGAAUAAACUAAUGAAGCAGGCAGAAGCUCGGCCUCUGUUCCCCAAUCAAUUCCAGGCAGAGGCUGGCAGAGUAGCAGUAGACCAAGUGGCUGCCAGUUAGCAAGGAGAGAAGAGCUGAGGCUCCGGAUCCUCGGCUGUGGGCUUGGUUGCCCCCGGGGCGCGGACGGAGG